UCUAAGUAUAAGCAAUUAUACCGUGAAACUGCGAAUGGCUCAUUAAAUCAGUUAUCGUUUAUUUGAUAGUACCUUACUACUUGGAUACCCGUGGUAAUUCUAGAGCUAAUACAUGCAAAAAACCCCGACUUUGGGAGGGGUGUAUUUAUUAGAUAAAAAACCAAUGCCCUUCGGGGCUCCUUGGUGAUUCAUAAUAACUUAACGGAUCGCAUGGCCUUGCGCCGGCGACGGUUCAUUCAAAUUUCUGCCCUAUCAACUUUCGAUGGUAAGGUAUUGGCUUACCAUGGUUUCAACGGGUAACGGAUUUUUAGGGAAAGAUCCCGGAGAGGCAGCCUGAGAAACGGCUACCACAUCCAAGGAAGGCAGCAGGCGCGCAAAUUACCCAAUCCUGAUACAGGGAGGUAGUGACAAUAAAUACUGAUACAGGGCUCUUUUGGGUCUUGUAAUCGGAAUGAGUACAAUUUAAAUACCUUAACGAGGAACAAUUGGAGGGCAAGUCUGGUGCCAGCAGCCGCGGUAAUUCCAGCUCCAAUAGCGUAUAUUAAAGUUGUUGCAGUUAAAAAGCUCGUAGUUGAACCUUGGGCCUGGCUGACCGGUCCGCCUCACCGCGUGUACUGGUUCGGCUGGGCCUUUCCUUCUGGAGAACCGCAUGCCCUUCACUGGGUGUGUCGGGGAACCAGGACUUUUACUUUGAGAAAAUUAGAGUGUUCAAAGCAGGCCUUUGCUCGAAUACGUUAGCAUGGAAUAAUAGAAUAGGACGUGCGGUCCUAUUUUGUUGGUUUCUAGAACCGCCGUAAUGAUUAAUAGGGAUAGUCGGGGGCGUCAGUAUUCAAUUGUCAGAGGUGAAAUUCUUGGAUCUAUUGAAGACUAACUACUGCGAAAGCAUUCGCCAAGGAUGUUUUCAUUAAUCAGUGAACGAAAGUUAGGGGAUCGAAGACGAUCAGAUACCGUCGUAGUCUUAACCGUAAACUAUGCCGACUAGGGAUCGGGCGAUGUUUCUUUCUUGACUCGCUCGGCACCUUACGAGAAAUC
rnacentral:rRNA from 1 species